rnacentral:rRNA from 1 species
CAGAGUUUAUCAUGGCUCAGGAUGAACGCUAGCUACAGGCUUAACACAUGCAAGUCGAGGGGAAACGACAUCGAAAGCUUGCUUUUGAUGGGCGUCGACCGGCGCACGGGUGAGUAACGCGUAUCCAACCUGCCCACCACUUGGGGAUAACCUUGCGAAAGUAAGACUAAUACCCAAUGACGUCUCUAGAAGACAUCUGAAGGAGAUUAAAGAUUUAUCGGUGAUGGAUGGGGAUGCGUCUGAUUAGCUUGUUGGCGGGUAACGCCACCAAGGCGACGAUCAGUAGGGGUUCUGAGAGGAAGGUCCCCCANAUUGGAACUGAGACACGGUCCAAACUCCUACGGGAGGCA